AGGAGAAGCAAAUCGCUGCGGUUGUUUACAAGCAGACUUUCCGCCGUCCUGAGAGUGGCUCAAAUCGUGCAUUUUUUAAUUUCCACCGGAACAUAAAUAGGAAGAAUCUUGUCCGAAGGGAAAGUUCGCCACAACGGUGGCGUUCCUGAGCCCUUCAUCUCCAAGAGAGACCUCGGCCAACAAGACUGGAGAUGCAGCAGCAGCUGCAGCAGCAAGGUAGCAGGAGAGGAGGAGGAUGGAUCCACUCAUGAUGUUGGUGAUGAUGAUGAGGAGGAGGAUGGACCUUCCUCCUGCCUGUAUGUAUGACACCGAUGGAAGAGACCAACAGAGGAAGGGAUCCCCCGAUGCUGAAGCUGAGCUCAAACAUCUACUCAUGUACUCCCUCCACAAACCCAGCUCAGAAGAAGGGACAGUUUUCAAGGUCCUGGUUCCUUCCAGGUUCCACAUAAAUUUAAAAUGUACAUGUUACUUUACCAAGCAAAACAACAGCUGACUGAAACCAUUUGGACCCUUCAUUUAUUUUCUUUGUAGCCACAGUUUCAUUAAAGAACCGGAUGCCGCCCCACUUCCUCCGCCUCUCUUGACCCUCAUCCCUCUGAGGAAGAUCCUUCAAAACACACCUACGUAGUUCACUUCAAGUUUGACUGUGAUUCUGUGUGUAUUGAAUGAGUAUAAAUGAAUGGGGUUACUUUAUUUUUGCAAAUAAAGUGUUUGACAAUGAACAUUUCUUUUUGUGAAAAAUGGAUUCACAGAAAAAAAUAAAAUCAAAAGCACUUUGCAAAAUAUCAACAAAUUGAGUUGAACACAGCUUUGUUUUAUUGCAGCGAUGAAAUAUAUAUG